GAGGGGCCGGAGGACAGAAGAGAGGAGAGGAGGCCCAGGUCCGUUCUUAACUCCUGUCUUCCAGUUUCUGGGGCUUGGCAACCAUGCUGAUAAGAAAGUUGCUGGGGCAUCGCGACUUGCUUACAUUAUAAAGAAAGAUAGAUGUGCUUUGUUACUAGGGUUUUUUGUUACUAAACAAAGGGGGGUGAGAUAUGGGUUGUGUGAAAUGAAUAAUCUGUGACGCGACGGAACUGUCUAUAUAACCUGUACGUAGUUGUAAAGAGUAGGCUGGUUCUCUUUAGGAGACGAGCUGGCUCUUUAUUGCUGCUGUGCACCCUUCAAUAAAGAGCUUUCUGUUUGGA